CUAUCCUACGGGGGGCAGCAGUGGGGGAUAUUGCACAAUGGGGGGAACCCUGAUGCAGCGACGCCGCGUGGGUGAAGAAGCGCCUCGGCGCGUAAAGCCCUGUCAGCAGGGAAGAAAAUGACGGUACCUGAAGAAGAAGCCCCGGCUAACUACGUGCCAGCAGCCGCAGUAAUACGUAGGGGGCAAGCGUUAUCCGGAUUUACUGGGUGUAAAGGGAGCGUAGACGGCAAUGCAAGCCAGAUGUGAAAGCCCGGGGCUCAACCCCUGGCCUGCAUUUGGAACUGUGUAGCUGGAGUGUCGUAGAG
rnacentral:rRNA from 1 species